GACGAACGCUGGCGGCGUGCCUAAUACAUGCAAGUCGAGCGGACGAAUCGAAAGCUUGCUUUUGAUUCGUUAGCGGCGGACGGGUGAGUAACACGUGGGCAACCUGCCCUGUAGACGGGGAUAACACCGAGAAAUCGGUGCUAAUACCGGAUAACACGAAAUGUCGCAUGACGCUUCGUUGAAAGACGGUGCUAGCUGUCGCUACAGGUUGGGCCCGCGGCGCAUUAGCUAGUUGGUGAGGUAACGGCUCACCAAGGCGACGAUGCGUAGCCGACCUGAGAGGGUGAUCGGCCACACUGGGACUGAGACACGGCCCAGACUCCUACGGGAGGCAGCAGUAGGGAAUCUUCCGCAAUGGACGAAAGUCUGACGGAGCAACGCCGCGUGAGCGAAGAAGGCCUUCGGGUCGUAAAGCUCUGUUGUUAGGGAAGAACAAGUAACGCAGUAACUGGCGUUACCGUGACGGUACCUAACGAGAAAGCCACGGCUAACUACGUG
rnacentral:rRNA from 1 species